UCGAAGCCGCCGGCGAACCUGGCGAGGAGGGACGCCGUCAUUUAAUCCGCGAGGCGGGGGAUUUGAUUUACCAUCUGCUGGUGAUGCUCGGCCACCGCGACGCGAAACUUUCCGAGGUCGAAGCAGAGCUGGCCAAGCGGUUUGGCAUUAGCG
rnacentral:misc_RNA from 1 species